rnacentral:lncRNA from 1 species
AUGUUUUGUUUUGUAGAUCGUGUCUUUCAUAGUAAUGAAACUACUAAAAAUGUGUAUGAAGAAAUUGCAGUACCAAUCAUAGAUUCUGCCAUUCAAGGCUACAAUGGUACUAUAUUUGCCUACGGGCAGACUGCUUCAGGAAAAACGUAUACUAUGAUGGGUUCACAAGAGUAUUUGGGAGUAAUACCCAGGGCAAUUCAUGACAUUUUCCAGAAAAUUAAGAAGUUUCCUGAUAGGGAAUUUCUCUUACGUGUGUCUUAUAUGGAGAUAUACAAUGAUACCAUUACAGACUUACUUUGUGACACUCAAAAAAUGAAGCCUUUAAUAAUUCGAGAAGACUUCAAUAGAAACGUGUACGUGGCUGACCUCACAGAAGAAGUUGUUUAUACAUCAGAAAUGGCUUUGAAGUGGAUCACUAAGGGAGAAAAGAACAGGCAUUAUGGAAUUACAAAAAUGAAUCAGCGAAGUAGUCGUUCUCAUACCAUUUUUAGGAUGAUUUUGGAAAGCAGAGAGAAAGGUGAACCUUCUAAUUUUGAAGGAUCUGUCAAAGUGUCCCAUUUGAAUUUGGUCGAUCUUGCAGGCAGUGAACGGGCUGCCCAAACAGGUGCUGAAGGUUUACGACUCAAGGAAGGCUGUAAUAUAAAUCGAAGUUUAUUUAUUUUGGGACAAGUGAUCAAGAAACUUAGUGAUGGACAAGUUGGUGGUUUCAUAAAUUAUCGAGAUAGCAAAUUAACACGAAUUCUCCAGAAUUCCUUGGGAGGAAAUGCAAAAACACGUAUCAUCUGCACAAUUACUCCAGUGUCUUUUGAUGAAACACUUAGUACUCUCCAGUUUGCCAGCACUGCCAAAUAUAUGAAAAAUACUCCUUAUGUUAACGAGGUAUCAAGUGAUGAAGCUCUCCUGAAAAGAUACAGGAAAGAAAUAAUGGAUCUUAAAAAGCAAUUAGAGGAGGUUUCUUUAGAGACUCGAGCCCAGGCAAUGGAAAAAGACCAACUGGCCCAACUCUUGGAAGAAAAAGAUCUACUUCAAAAAGUCCAGAUUGAGAAAAUUCAAAACCUAACACGGAUGCUGGUGACAUCUUCUUCUCUAGCAUCACAGCAGGAAUUAAAGGCUAAAAAAAAACGAAGAGUUACUUGGUGCGCAGGGAAAAUUAACAAAAUGAAGGACUCAAACUAUGUAAAUGAAUUUAAUAUGGCAGUGAAUGUAACAACAAGAACACAUAAGGCUGCUGUAAGUUUAGGAGAAAUUGAUGAAUCUCUCUGUUCAGAGUCUGAUAUUUUCAGUAACACUCUUGAUACAUUGACUGAGAUAGAAUGGAAUCCAGCAACAAAGCUACUAAGUCAGGAAAACUUAGAAAGUGAAUUGAAUUCACUUCGUGCUAACUAUGAUAACCUGGUACUAGACUAUGAACAUUUAAGAAGAGAAAAUGAAGAAAUGGAAUUGAAAUUAAAAGAAAAGAAUGAUUUGGAUGAAUUUGAAGCUCUAGAAAGAAAAGCAGAGAAAGAUCAAGAGAUGCAACUAAUUCAUGAAAUUUCCAACUUAAAGAAUUUAGUUAAGCAUGCAGAAGUAUAUAAUCAAGAUCUUGAGAAUGAACUAAAUUCAAAAGUAGAGCUGCUUAGAGAAAAGGAAGACCAGAUUAAGAAGCUACAGGAAUAUAUAGAGUCUCAGAAGUCAGAAAGUAUGAAAAUGGACUCAUCAUACUCAUCGGAAAACACUGAAGACCUAAAACAAAUGAGACAGACUCUGCUUGAUGCCGAAACUGUAGCUCUUGAUGCUAAGAGAGAAUCAGCCUUUCUUAGAAGUGAAAAUCUAAAGCUGAAAGAGAAAAUGAAAGAACUUGCAAGUACAUGCAAGCAGAUGGAAAAUGAUACUCAGUUAUAUCAAAGUCAGUUGGAGGCGAAAAAGAAAAUGCAAGUUGAUCUGGAGAAAGAAUUACAAUCUUCUUUUAAUGAAAUAACAAAACUCACCUCCCUUAUAGAUGGCAAAGUUCCAAAAGAUUUUCUGUCUAAUAUGGAAUUGGAAAGAAAAAUAACCCAUCUACAGAAAGAAUUGAAUAAAGCAGUCGAAGAAAAUGAAACUUUGCGUAAUGAAGUUAAUUUGCUGUCAGAAUUGAAAUCUUUACCUUCAGAAGUAGAAAUGCUAAGGAAAGAGAUACGGGAUAAAUCUGAAGAGCUCUAUACAGUAACAUCAGAAAAAGACAAAUUGUCUUCUGAAGUAGUUGAUAAGGAAAGUAGAAUUCAAGGUUUACUUGAAGAAAUUGGGAGCACUAAAAAUGACCUACCAGCUCCCCAGUUGAGUUGUGAAAGCACUGAUCAAGAAUUCCAACAUGUUAAAAAUCACCAUAUUGAAUUUGAGCAAAAGUAUAAGAUGGUCCUUGAAGAAAAUGCAAAAUUGAAUCAAGAAAUAGGAAAUCUCUAUAAAGAAGCUGAAGAACUUGGGUUAAAUUUAGAGGCUUUGAAGACAGAGCUCUCUCACAAAACCCAAGAACUUCAACAAAAAACAACUGAGACUCAAGAAAGAUCAAACGAAGUGGAAGAGCUGAAGAAACAAUUAGAAAGUAGGGAAUCUAGACUGCAAAUGGUAGAAAAGGAGAAAACACUGAUUACUGAGAAACUUCAACAAACAUUAGUAGAAGUAAAAACCUUAACCCAAGAAAAAGAUGAUCAAAAACAACUCCAAGAGAGCCUACAAAUUGAGAGGGACCAACUCAAAAGUGACAUUCAGGAUACUAUAAAUAUGAACAUAGACACCCAGGAACAGCUACGAAAUGCGCUUGAGUCUUUGAAACAACACCAAGAAACAAUUAACGUGCUAAAAAUGAAAAUUUCUGAGGAAACUUCCAAGAAUUUGCAUAUAGAAGAAAACUUAGAAGAAACUAGGGAUGAAUUUCAGGAAAAGAUGGUUGUCAUAGAUAAAAGCCAAAAUUUGGAAACCACAAAAACUCAAGCUCUGAUCACAGAUGCUGCGGAUAAUGAGCUAACUGAGCAAGAGAAAAAGAUAUUUUCUUUAAUACAGGAGAAAAAUGAACUGCAACAAAUGUUAGAGAGUAUUACAGCAGAAAAGGAGCAACUGAAGACUGACCUAAGAGAAAACAUUGAAAUGACCAUUGAAAACCAGGAAGAAUUAAGAUUUCUUGGAAAUGAACUUAAAAAACAACAGGAUAUUGUUGCACAAGAAAAGAACCAUACCAUUAAGAAAGAAGAAGAGCUUUCUAGGACCUGUGAAAAACUAUCAGAAGUUCAAGAAAAACUAAAGGAAAAGAGCCAACAACUGCAAGAAAAACAGCAGCAACUGCUUAGUGUACAAGAAGAGAUGAGUGAGAUGCAGAAAAAGAUGAAUGAAAUGGAAAACUUAAAGAAUGAACUAAAGAACCAAGAAUUAACAUUGGAGCGUAUAAAAAUUGAGAAGAUAGAGUUAGCUCAGAAACUUCAUGAAAAUUGUGAGGAAAUGAAAUUCAUAACCAAAGAAAGAAACGACCUAAAGAAAUUACAGGAGUCAUUUGAAGUAGAGAGAAAUAAGCUUAAAGAACACAUAAGACAGAUUGAAGCUACAGGUCUAGAAACAAAAGAAGAACUACAGAUGGCCCACAUGUACCUAAAAGAACACCAAGAAACUAUUGAAGAACUAAGAAGAGACAUUUCUGAGAAGACGGCUCAGAUAAUAAAUACUCAGAAGAACUUAGAAAAAUCUGGUACUGAACUGCAAGAAAAGAUCCAAACAUCUCAAGACAAACAAGAACAGUCCUUCAAUAUGAAAGAAAAGGACAGUGAGACUAAGAAAAUAAUGAAUGAGAUGGAGCAAUUGAAGGACCCAUUCAAAGACUCAGCACUACUAAAGCUAGAAAUGGAAAAGCUCGAAUUGUCUGAAAGACUUCAAGAAAGUCAUGAUGAAGUCAAAGCUGUAGCAAAGGAGAGAGCUAACCUUCAGAGGCUACAAGAACUUCUUCAAUCUGAAAAGAACCAACUCCAAGAAAACCUAAGAGAAAUGGCCGCUAAACAACUAGAAACUGAAGAGAAACUUAAAGUUGCUCAUUGUCACCUAAAAGAACAAGAGGAAAUUAUUGGUAAACUAAGAGCGGAUCUAUCAAAGAGAGAAACUGAAAUAUCACACAUUCAACAGGAACUGGAAACAGCAAAUGAUAAAUUACAGAAAAAGACUCAAGAGCUUUAUGAGAAACAGUUUAUUACUGUCAAGGAAAUCAGUGAGACUCAGGAAACAAUGAGUGAACUGGAACAGUUAAAGGAACAUCUCAAAGCCAAAGGCUCGUCACUACAAAGAAAAGAAAGUGAGAGGCUCACAUUGACUGAAAAACUUCAGGCAAGUCAGGAAGAAUUAAAAACCAUAAUUAAGGAAGGAGAUGAACUGGAAAGGAUACAGGAGGCCCUUCAAAAAGAAACAGACCAACUCAAAGAAAACACUAAAGAAAUUGUAGCUGAUAUUCAAGAACUUCAGGAAAAAGAACAUCAACUUCUUGAGAUGAAGGAUGUCAGUGAGACUUGGGAAAAAAUAUGUGAAAUGGAAAACUUGAAGAAGCAACUUGAGGCCCAAAAGUCAACUCUAGAAAAUAUAGAAUGGGAGAACAUCAAGUUAAUUCAGAGACUCAAUGAAAAUAUUGCAGAAAUAAGAUCUGUUACAAAAGAAAGAGAUGACCUUAGGAAUAUGGAGGAGACUCUCAAAGUAGAGAUAGACCAGCUCAAGGAAAACCUAAGAGAAACAACAAAUAGAGACCUGGAAAGACAAGAGGAACUAAGAACUGCCCAGAUGAAUCUGAAAGAGCACCAAGAAACUAUCGAUAAACUCAGAGGAAUUGUUUCAGGGAAGACAGAUGAAAUAUCAAAUAUCCAAAUGAAUUUAGAAAACACAAAUAUGGCCUUAAAAGCACAGGUCAAUGAACUUCAGGAGAAAGAACAUCAACUUCUUAAGGUGCAAAAUGAUCUCAGGGAAAAUAUAUAUCAAACAGAGCAACUGAAGAAGCAAUUAGAGACUCAGAAUUCAAUCCUGGAAAGCACAGAAACAGAGAAGUUAAGGUUGACUCAGAAACUCCUUGAAAACGUUGAAGAAAUAAAAUCUGUUAGUAAGGAAAGAGAUGACCUAAGAAGAAUGGAGGGAACCCUCAAAAUGGAGCGAGAUCAACUCAGGGAAAGCCUCAGAGAAACAAAAGCUAAAGAUCUAGAAAGACAAGAAGAACUAAGAAUAGCUCACUUACAUCUGAAGGAGUACCAGGAAAUUAUUGAUAAACUCAGAGGGAUUGUGUCUGAGAAGGCAGAAGAACUAUCAAAUAUGCAAAUGGAUUUAGAAAAUUCAAAUGCUAAAUUACAAGAAAAGGUCCAAGAACUGAAAGCAAAUGAACAGCAACUUUUUAAGUUAAAAGAAGAAAUUAGUGAGACUAAGAAAAAAAUGUGUGACAUUGAGCAACUGAAGAACGAAUUUAAGUGCCAGAGUUUAACUAUGAACAAAAUAGAAAUGGAGAACUUAAACUUGGCUCAGAAGCUUCAUGAAAACCUUGAAGAAAUGAAAUCUGUAAUGAAAGAAAGAGAUAACCUAAGGGGGCUGGAAGAGACCCUCAGACUGGAGAGAGACCUACUCAAGGCGGACCUGCAAGGAAGCACAGCUAGGGAACUGGAGACACAAGAACAACUAAAAGUUGCUCAUAUCCAUUUGAAAGAACACCAAGAGACUAUCGAUAAAUUGAGAGAGAGAGUUUCAGAAAAGACGUCUCAGAUUUCACAUGUGCAAAAGGAUUUAAAUAAAUCAAAAGAUGAAUUACAGAAAAAGCAGGAUCAACAGAACCACAAAGAGGUAAAAUAUGAAAAAAGCUUACUAUGUGAUGGAAACCAACACCUUAUAGGAAGCCUGAGAGAAAAGUGCUUUAGGAUAAAAUAUGUGCUAAGCUAUGUUGCAAGGACAAAGGAAGAACAACAUGAAUCCAUCAAUAAAUUUGAAAUGGCUUUUAUUGAUGAAGUGGAAAAGCAAAAUGAACUGCUAAUGGAACUACAGCACUUUCAACAAGAUUAUGAUGUACCACCUGGAGAAUCAAGGGACCUCAAAUUGAACCAGAGCAUGGAUCUACAUAUCGAAGAAAUUCUUAAGGAUUUUUCAGAAAGUGAUUUCCAUAGCAUAAAGACUGAAUUUCAGCAAGUACUAAGUAAUAGAAAAGAAAUGACUCGGUUUUUGGAAGAGUGGUUGAAUGCUCGUUUUGAUAUAGAAAAGCUUAAAAAUGUCAUCCAGGAAGAAAAUGAUAGUAUUUGUCAAGUGAACAACUUGUAUCAUGAGAAAAUAACGGCUAUAAUGAAUGAAUUAACAGAGUUUGAAGAAAGAAAUGCUACCAUAGCCAAAGAAUGGGAACAAGAUCUGAAAUCAGUGAAAGAAAACAAUCAAAAACUAUUUAAAAACUACCAAACUUUGAAGCUCUCCCUGACCUCCGGUGCUCUUGUUAAUCCUACUACACAAGACAGGAAUCUUCAUGUCACAACGAGAGCUACACAGCAAGUCACAGAGAAAAUUCAAGCGCUGGAAACCUCACUCCGUGAAGCUAAAGAAAGUGCUAUGCAUAAGGAGGGCAAGAUUAUGAAGAUGCAGAAAGAGCUUGAGAUGACUAAUGAUGUAAUAGCAGAACUUCAGCGGCAAGUUAAUGAAUCAAAUGAAUGCCUUGAAAAAAGAAAAGAAAUGAUCCAAGUACUUCAGGACAAAGCUGCUUUAGGAGCUAAACCUUAUAAAGAAGAAAUUGAAGAUCUCAAAAUGAAGUUGGUGAAAGUGGACCUAGAGAAAAUGGAAAAUGCGAAGGAGUUUGAAAAGGAAAUUGCUUCAACAAAAGCCACUGUAGAAUAUCAAAAAGAAGUUAUAAGGCAAUUGAAAGAGAAUCUUAGAAGAAAUCAACAGGCCCAAGAUACCUCAAUGCUAUCAGAACAUAUUGAUACUCAGCCUUCAAAUAAACCCUUAACCUGUGGAGGUGGCAGUGGCAUUGUACAAAGCACGAAAGCUCUUAUCCUGAAAAGUGAAUAUAUACGGCUAGAAAAGGAAGUUUCUAAGUUAAAGCAGCAAAAUGAACAGCUCAUGAAGCAAAAGAACGAACUGUCAAGUGAGGUCAAGACAUGGAAGGAGAGAACUCUUAAAAAAGAGGUUCACAAAGAAGUAACUUGUGAGAAUUCUCCAAAGUCUCCUAAAGUGACUGGGACACCCUCUAAAAAGAGACACCAUAUGUCUUCUCAAUGCAAGGAACGGAAUGUCCAAGAUCCUGUGCCAAAGGAGUCGCCGAAAUCUUGGUUUUUUGAUAACCGAUCAAAGUCUUUGCCAGUACCUCCUCCAGUUCGCUAUUUUGAUAACUCAGGUUUAGGCCUUUGUCCAGAAGAACAAACUGCUGAAGUGGAGACCGAGGAUCCCCAGCGAGGUCCUUGGCAAAUGUCGUCAGGAAAAGAGGUGCCAGAGUGCAAGACUCAGUAGGCUCCGCUCUGCCGCGUUUCUGGCGGCCCAGCCUUCCACGUUUGGAAGUGUCUGUGUUUAUUGCUUGAUGUGUCUAUCCCUGGCAGGCAUGUCACAGUCCAGCUUCAGUUCAGUUCCCACUUUGC